CACCAUUCGUAUGGCCAAAGCGAGUGAGGGAGAGCUCAGGCAUGGAUUCCGAGUCCAGACUGGUGUAAGUGGAUAAAACCCCCACUAAACCUCUGUUCGAAUGACCCGUCGUCUCUUCUCUUCUCGACGACGCCAACAACCUCAUGGAAGUUCCCGCCCGUCUUUCCUCACCGGCUGCCGUUCCCCGAACUCUACUCUUCCCUGCAACGAAGCUCGGUGGGAGCCAAAGGCUAUUUCGGUACGCGAGAAAUUCAUGGAAGAUGAGAAAUCUUGUCGUCAGGGCCGGUCCUAAGAGGAUUUCUUUUGGUAAAGAAUGCAGAGGGGCAUUGCUAGCUGGUAUUGAUAAGUUAGCUGAUGCUGUUUCUGUCACGUUAGGACCCAAAGGACGCAAUGUUAUUCUCUCAGAAAAGGAAACGCUUAAGGUGGUUAAUGACGGGGUUACGAUUGCUAAAGCUAUUGAGCUUUCGGAUGCAAUUGAGAAUGCAGGAGUGGUGCUGAUCCAAGAGGUUGCUAGUAAAAUGAAUGACUUGGCUGGAGAUGGAACCACCACUGCAAUAAUUUUGGCACGUGAAAUGAUCAAAUCUGGAUUAUUGGCAGUUUCCUUUGGAGCUGAUCCGGUUUCGUUAAAGAAAGGAAUGGAUAAGACUGUAAAGGAGUUAAUCGAGGUCUUAAAGAAGAAAAGUACUCCUGUACAAGGAAAAAAUGAUAUUAAAGCUGUUGCGAUGAUAUCUUCUGGAAAUGAUGAAUAUGUGGGGAACUUGAUUGCUGAAGCUAUAGAAAAGAUCGGCCCUGAUGGUGUGAUCUCAAUCGAGUCGUCCAAAUCCUCAGAAACUUGUGUAAUAAUAGAGGAAGGAAUGAAGAUUGAUAAAGGUUACAUGUCGCCUCAGUUUAUUACAAAUCAAGAUAAGUCUAUUGUGGAGUUUGACAAUGCAAAAGUCCUAGUAACCGAUCAAAUAAUUUCGACUGUCAAAGAAAUCGUUCCUUUGUUGGAAAAGACCAUACAACUUAGUCUUCCUCUGCUGAUAAUUGCAGAGGACAUCUCGAGACAAGUUCUAGAAACUCUAGUGCUGAACAAGGUACAGGGUUUAGUUAAUGUGGCGGUUGUAAAAUGUCCUGGGCUUGGUGAAAGAAAGAAAUCUCUAUUGCAAGAUAUUGCACUAAUGACAGGUGCUGAUUUUCUCUCUGGAGAUUUGGGUCUAGGACUCGAGGGUGCAACGUCAGACCAGCUUGGAAUUGCUAGGAAAGUAGUUAUAACAUCUAAUUCAACAACAAUAGUUGCAGAUCCCUCUACUAAAGCUGAAAUUCAAGCAAGAAUUUCACAGAUUAAGAAGGAUCUUGUUGAAACAGAUAAUUCCUACCUCUCGAGAAAACUUUCUGAGAGGAUUGCUAAGCUUUCUGGUGGAGUUGCUGUCAUCAAGGUGGGAGCACAUACUGAGGUGGAACUUGAAGACAGGAAACUCAGAAUUGAGGAUGCAAAGAAUGCGGUAUUUGCUGCCAUGAAUGAAGGCAUUGUUCCUGGUGGAGGUGCUACCUAUGUUCAUCUCUCUGAAUUUCUUCCUUCCAUAAAACAUUCAAUGGAAGAUCAAGACGAGCAGAUCGGUGCCGAUAUUGUGGGCAAGGCACUUCUUGCACCAGCAAAAUUCAUUGCAAGUAAUGCAGGCGUUGACGGAGUAGUUGUUGUGGAGAAAACUCGAGCCUGCCAUUGGCGACAUGGGUAUAAUGCUAUGGCAGACAGGUAUGAAGAUCUUAUUAAUGCUGGUGUAUUAGAUCCUUGCCUUGUUUCAAGAUGUGCACUUCAGAUUGCAGCCUCAGUUGCUGGGAUCAUUUUAACGACUCAAGCCAUAAUGGUGGACAAAAUAAAGAAACCAAAGCCACCCGUUCCUCAUGUUCCUGGAAUAUCUCCAUGAACGCAAAGAAAAGAAAAAUAGACUUCCCGGGAGUUGACAUGAAAACACGAGAGAUCCGCCAUGGCUUCUCUGCUAAGCUUCUGAGCUUGAGUUGAAUAAGUUCAUUGCUGAAGCAAACAGUAAGAUUUACAAAUGCAGUAGCAGAUCAUGAGAAGAUCAAGACUGAAGUGUUAUACCAACCUGCAUUAAGAAACGAUAGCAGCACAGCUGCUUUAAGUAAAGUGUAAUACAAGUUGCCUUCUGCCUAUUUUAAGACAAAAAGUUAGGAAAUAAAUACGCAUUUAUGGUAGCUCAAUGUGAAAGAGAAUUAAGAUAGGUUUAGAAACUGUGUUUCGAAGUAUAUUUUUUUCAUUUUUUAGAAUAAAAAAUUAUGUGUUCAACUACGAUACGAUGAGUUGCCCUCGUGGUCAAUAAGCAUCAUAUAACUUAUAUC